GAGGGUGUAGCUCAGUGGUAGAGCACGUGCUCAGCAUGCACAAGGUCCUGGGUUCAAUCCCCAGGACCUCCA
rnacentral:tRNA from 1 species